CGGAAGCACUAGUUUCAUACUUCCGGUCUGGAGCAGCAGUGGAGGCUUCGAUUACGCAGUGGCUAGUACGAGCCAAACUGGCACUGAGGAAGCAUCGGGCACUUCGGGAAACGACGCUAGGAAUGCUACUGGAACCGGACGAAUGGAACAGCAAGACUCCUGCAGUGUCAGAGAAUGCGAUCAAUCGUCUGCCAAGAAGUCGAAACACAAAUGUGAAACAUGUGGCAAACUUAUAAGUGGGGCUCAUAAUCUACCUGCACAUUACCGCACGCACACCGGCGAGAAACCAUACAAAUGUGAAUAUGUGCGAAAUCAUUCGCGCACAGGUCGAAUUUCCACGAUCAUCAACGGAUUCACACAGGUUUGAAACCCCAUAUCUACCAAAUAUGUACUAAACCAUUCAAAAGCAAAGCGGAACUUAACAGUCAUCUCAAAUCACACAGCAACGAUCGGCCUUUCGUUUGCGACAUAUGUAGUCUCUCGUUUGAGCACACUGCAAGUCUCCGAAGACACCGCAAAACAGUUCACGACUGUACAAUGCCGUAAGAGUGCAAGCAGUGUGGAUUUCGGUUCGCAAAGAAAGAACCCCGACGCACAUAUGUGCCAUAAUAAUAGGUGCCUAUUGUGUGGAUAUUCGUCUAGAGAUGCAUUUGAACUCAUUGCACAUCUGGAGACGCAUAGGGGCGGGCACUCACAACAGUGUGACUAGUGCACAAGUGCAGUAAAUCGCCUACGGGUUGUGCAUAAGAACGUGACCUUGGGAUGCUUGAAUGUCGAAGUAUACUGCAGAUCCUGGCUACAGCUCACUGUUUGCAGAAAUGUUGUUCGUCAACGUGGCAUUAGCAAACUCAUUUCUCGACAAACCCUAAUGGGCUGCGAGUUCGUGUUUUGUUUGUCUAUAAGGUUGAUAUGUUCGCUGAAUAUCCUUGACACCUCAUUUAGUUGUGCAGGCGUUCUGACACUGUAUUAGUAAACAAGCUUUACCUAACCAUCCUUUCAAUUAUUCUGCAGUGUGAAUAGAAGGGAAUACCUCUCAUUAAGAACCAUUUAAGAAGGAGGUGCUGUUUUCUUGUCAACUAAAACAAAUGCAUGGCAAUAAUUGAGGUCCAUAGCCCUUGCUGCCUUCCAGAGACAGCUUUUAUGACAAUACUUAAAGAUAAACAGGGGGAAGUUUUUUUCCGUACAAAUUGUUCAAUGCACGUAAUGUUUUGGUUCUCUCUUUGGGUCUUUUAUUCAUAUGGAAUUUUAUUGUUUAUCAUGGUGUUGACAGCAGUGAGAUUGUAUUAAACUGCCGAAUAUUUUACUAAUGGGAAUAUUUUAGCUGUUGUUUUAAUGUACAGU